GAGAGAGAUGUUUGGCCCAAAGAAAGUGUACGAGUGGUGGAAACCAGCUUGACAAAGUUGAAGAGAGUGGGAAUAAGUGUCGAUUUCCCACAGACGGCGCCAAAUGUUGAUGCACAAAAUCAGCGAGGACAUUGGUACAACAGAAAGUGUCAGGUUUGUGACCUUCACUUGGUUGCUUCGAUCACUAGUGAAGAUAAGUACGUAAAUGAAUAGGGACAGGGAAGCAAACACAAGAUGUACGUGGUUCACCCAGAUCGGCUACGUCCACGGAGUAGAUGAGUUCUCAUUAAUUGUGAAGGGUUUACACAAAUACAUAGGUUCAAGCUCUCAUUUUGUGAGUUCUAGUGAAUAGUUUAGUACAAAAUGACAUUAGAGAUUAUUGUGGGAGAAUGAUCCUUAUUUAUAGAUGAGAGUUUCUAGUUUUGUUCUAACAUUGACACGUGUCAUGUUGUGAUUGGCUUCUGAUGUCGACACGUGUCGCAUUGUGAUUGGCCUUCUGGUUGAAGGGAAGCUCUUCUGGGUCUUUGAUGGUAUAACGUUGACCGGUGCUCAGUAGUUUUGGGAUUGGUCAAGUAUGGUACAAACAGUACUGUUGGUACCACACAUAAUGGGCCUCAGACUUUGAUACAUUG
rnacentral:lncRNA from 1 species